rnacentral:rRNA from 1 species
GACGAACGCUGGCGGCGUGCUUAACACAUGCAAGUCGAACGGUAAGGCCCUUCGGGGUACACGAGUGGCGAACGGGUGAGUAACACGUGGGUGAUCUGCCCUGCACUUCGGGAUAAGCCUGGGAAGCUGGGUCUAAUACCGGAUAGGACCACUGCCUGCAUGGGUGGUGGUGGAAGGCUUUUGCGGUGUGGGAUGGGCCCGCGGCCUAUCAGCUUGUUGGUGGGGUGAUGGCCUACCAAGGCGACGACGGGUAGCCGGCCUGAGAGGGUGACCGGCCACACUGGGACUGAGAUACGGCCCAGACUCCUACGGGAGGCAGCAGUGGGGAAUAUUGCACAAUGGGCGCAAGCCUGAUGCAGCGACGCCGCGUGAGGGAUGACGGCCUUCGGGUUGUAAACCUCUUUCAGCACCGACGAAGCGCAAGUGACGGUAGGUGCAGAAGAAGGACCGGCCAACUACGUGCCAGCCGCCGCCGUAA